CCCUAACCACACGUAGUUUUGCUAAUAAUAAUAAUAUCAAUAAUAAGUAAAUAAAUAAAUAAAUCGUAGUAUAUAUUGUAAUUUAAACACUACUUACUAUCCAAGUCUAUAAUAUUAUACUUCUCCUUUUUUUUUAAUUGCAUUAUUUUCCUUUUUGAGAAAUUGCAUAUAAAUAGCACAAUUUCCCUAUAUGGUAUGCUUUUUUCACUUUUUGGUUGUGAUCACACUUAAAAUUCGUACCUACCCUUGUACAUAUGUGAUAACAACCAUUAUUACCCCACCUUUUCUACCUUUUAUUUCUUUUUCACAUGGGCAUUUUGACAUACUUCAUCUUUUACAAUUUUCUUAAAUCUCGUGCCCAACCCAAAUGGUGCAAUUAAAAAAACGAGGAAGUAUUAUCAACGAGAAUAAUUAUUUUAAUUAAAUCUUUUUAAUCAUGGUUAAUUUUUUAAUAGUUAAAUUAAUUUAUAAAAUAUUUAAAUUUUUUUUUUAAAAAAAAAAGGAAAACCAACCACCACCACCUCCACCCCUACCACCGGUUAGCACUGUCACCAGCUCUGCUGCCCCUUCCCACCUGCCGCCCAGAGCUCCACACCCGUCAGUGACCUAUGUUCCCUAGUGGCCGACCCACCCCCUCCCAUUUCCCCUACCCUCGUCGCGACCCUAAACCAUAGGCCACAACCCACCCCUCUCUUCCCCCACCAUGAAACAACCCCUCUCUCUUUGGGGAAAGGAAGUGGGUUGUUUUGUUGUGGGGGAAGAAAAAUGGAAGGGGGUGGAGGUUUCGGGUUUGGAUUUAGGUUGGGGGACAUCAACAAGGGGGAAGGAGGUGUUAGGGUAAGGGGAAAGGGAGAGGGGUGGGUCGUCGGCGGUAGAGACAUCUGGGUCUUUGGCGGGGGCGGGUUGGUGGUCGCGGCGGGGGUGGGAAGGGGGCUAAGUUGCUUGUUGAAAGGGGUGGCUGGUUUUUUUAUUAUAUUUAUAUUUUCAUAAAUAUUCAAUAUUGAUUUUUAAAACAUUAUUAACAACGGGGAUUGUUAAACAUCGCCCUCGAAUCUUUAGGUAACGCCCGUAAAAUAAAAUGUAUUUUACAAAUUUACCCUCAUAUGUAAACAGAAAUUUACCCCACUAACAUAACUUACCUUCACCCUCGUUCCCUCUUCUCUCUCUUAAAAACAUUUAUCUCUCUAAACCAUCAUCACCACCUCCUCCUCCUUUUAACACCCACCACCACAUCCUUUUACCACCCAACACCACCUCCUUCUACAACCAAACUACUCGUAAUACCCAAUUUCCGCGGAAAUGACGAGGAAGGACAAGGGGAAGGCGGUCGCCAGAGAAGAAGUUUGUUUUUUUUUUUAAUUAUUAUUUCUGGAAUCGGGCUGAAACGCCCAACUUUUUCGAAGAACCUAGGCUGAAACGCCUAGAUCUUUCGAACAACCGCCUGGUUGUUCGAAAUUUCUGGGCGUUUCAUCUUAGCCACCCAAUUCAAUAUCAACGCUGAACAUCAUCAAAUUAUAGAGGAAUUUGGUUCAAUCUUCAUUAAUUUCGUCAUUAGCUUAAAAAAAAGGGAAGAAAGUUCGAGAGGAGAAGAUAAUGGUAAUGGUUCGAGUUAGGCCGCUAAGAUUGAAGGAACAAACAAUGUAAGAUUUGAUUGCAUUGCUGGAGUGCCCAGAUGAGGAGACAGUAGUGUUCAAGAAUCCCAAUGAUGAGAGAAGUCUUUUUCCUCCUUCACCUUUGAUAAAGUUAACUUGUGUGACCGCGAGGGUUUAUGAAGGAGGGGCAAAGGAUGUGGCCUUAUCAGCUCUUAUUGGGAUUAAUGGUGAUUAUAUAGAUAUCUUUAUUCUGGUUAGGUUUAGUGGAUGUUGUUUGUUGAUUUAGUUCAAACUUCCUUUCUUGCAACAACCAUUUUUGCAUAUGGGCAGACUAGUAGUGGUAAAACAUAUACCAUGAGAGGAAUCACUCAAUAUGCAAUUGAGGACAUAUAUCAGUAUAUGCAAAAUGUAAGCUCUAAGUGCUUGUGACUGUUCCUGUUAUAUCUGUGGUAAUUGUUUACAUUAGUUAUGUGGCAUUUGCAUGUUGGAAAUUAUUGGUUAAUUUGAAUUUCAUAAUUUCCUUUGAAUUUUAAAAUGACUGUAAUUGGUGAUAUUACAGCAGAGCUUGCAAUUGAGGACAUAUAUCAGUAUAUGACAGACUUCCUGUGUCUUUGCAUCUUAAACCUGAAUAUAUUCUCAUUCAGCUUGUAGGUGAAGAGGUAUGUACGGUUCUUCUUAGAUAAUUUGUUAAGAGGUAUAUAUGGUUCUUCUUAGACAAUUUGUUGAGUCAAUCACCAAAUCAACAACA